rnacentral:lncRNA from 1 species
UAGAAGCAUUUUAAAAAGUGACGUGAUAUUUGUUUCUUCCCUUUUAUUUAUUUCUUCCCUCCAGAGCUGCCACUCUCAAUAGCCUAUUUUCACCUAAGGCUAGUACUAAAAUCCCCUACUUUUCCCUAGCUACAAGUCAAUGUGUAAUUUUCCCCUACAUUCCCCUACGUUCCCCUACAAAUAUCGCAUUUCCCCUGUAAUCCUGAAUUAUCAUCUACGAUACAGAUGUUUCCGGUUUUUAAUAUAACGAUAAUAUAUUCUAUUUAUUAAAUUGCGCAAACCUUAACAAAACAAAACCACAAACUAUUACUCAAAAAUUCACUCAAAUUCACUCAAAAAUUCAAGAAAUAGCGAAACAUUCUUCUGCACUAAUGCACUUGGAUGAAUAUUUAAGUUGUUGGGAAAAAAUCCUUAGAUUUCCUUAGAUUUUUUCUCUUCCUUAGAUUUUCCUUUUCGACACUAGAAUUUCCUUAGAAAAGGAAAUUUCCUUGAAAAUGGAAGCAUUGUCGUGGAGACCGGAGACGUGGAGUUAUUAUAUCACAUAUUCCAGUGCUUCCACAUUCAAUUCAAAUCUAAAUUUCUAGUUGUUUCCAUGAAAAAUCCUGAUUAUCCUGCAGUUCAAUAGUGCUAGUUCCAUUUUGUAAUUCAUAAUACCAUAAACAGACACACAAUUUUUUUUUCAAUUCAAACCGUGAAGAAAUCCCCUACGCUCCCCUACAGAUUACCCUUUCUCCCCGUAGGUAUUCCCCACUCCCUACAAGAUGUCAUAAUCCCCCACUGUAGGGGAAUCCCCCUACGAGUGGCAGCCUUGCAGUUCCCUCGCCUUUUC